GAGUUUGAUCCUGGCUCAGAUUGAACGCUGGCGGCAGGCCUAACACAUGCAAGUCGAGCGGAAACGAGUUAUCUGAACCUUCGGGGAACGAUAACGGCGUCGAGCGGCGGACGGGUGAGUAAUGCCUAGGAAAUUGCCUUGAUGUGGGGGAUAACCAUUGGAGACGAUGGCUAAUACCGCAUGAUGCCUACGGGCCAAAGAGGGGGACCUUCGGGCCUCUCGCGUCAGGAUAUGCCUAGGUGGGAUUAGCUAGUUGGUGAGGUAAGGGCUCACCAAGGCGACGAUCCCUAGCUGGUCUGAGAGGAUGAUCGGCCACACUGGAACUGAGACACGGUCCAGACUCCUACGGGAGGCAGCAGUGGGGAAUAUUGCACAAUGGGCGCAAGCCUGAUGCAGCCAUGCCGCGUGUGUGAAGAAGGCCUUCGGGUUGUAAAGCACUUUCAGUCAUGAGGAAGGCCUUGUGGUUAAUACCUGCUUCGAUUGACGUUAGCGACAGAAGAAGCACCGGCUAACUCCGUGCCAGCAGCCGCGGUAAUACGGAGGGUGCGAGCGUUAAUCGGAAUUACUGGGCGUAAAGCGCAUGCAGGUGGUUUGUUAAGUCAGAUGUGAAAGCCCGGGGCUCAACCUCGGAAUAGCAUUUGAAACUGGCAGACUAGAGUACUGUAGAGGGGGGUAGAAUUUC
rnacentral:rRNA from 1 species